rnacentral:sRNA from 1 species
GGAUGUGAGGGCGAUCUGGCUGUGACAUCUGUCACCCAUUGAUCGCCAGGGUUGAUUCGGCUGAUCUGGCUGGCUAGGCGGGUGUCCCCUUCCUCCCUCACCGCUCCAUGUGCGUCCCUCCCGAAGCUGCACGCUCGGUCGAAGAGGACGACCAUCCCCGAUAGAGGAGGACCGUUCUUCGGUCAAGGGUAUACGAGUAGCUGUGCUCCCCUGCUAGAACCUCCAAACAAGCUCUCAAGAUAGGAUCUCACAACUGUUUGCCUGGGCUGGCUUUGAACUGCUAUCCUCCUGAUCUCUGGCUCCUGAGUAUUUAGGA